UAGGGAAUCUUCCGCAAUGGGCGAAAGCCUGACGGAGCAACGCCGCGUGAGUGAUGAAGGUCUUCGGAUCGUAAAACUCUGUUAUUAGGGAAGAACAAAUGUGUAAGUAACUAUGCACGUCUUGACGGUACCUAAUCAGAAAGCCACGGCUAACUACGUGCCAGCAGCCGCGGUAAUACGUAGGUGGCAAGCGUUAUCCGGAAUUAUUGGGCGUAAAGCGCGCGUAGGCGGUUUUUUAAGUCUGAUGUGAAAGCCCACGGCUCAACCGUGGAGGGUCAUUGGAAACUGGAAAACUUGAGUGCAGAAGAGGAAAGUGGAAUUCCAUGUGUAGCGGUGAAAUGCGCAGAGAUAUGGAGGAACACCAGCGGCGAAGGCGACUUUCUGGUCUGUAACUGACGCUGAUGUGCGAAAGCGUGGGGAUCAAACAGG
rnacentral:rRNA from 1 species